AUGCUCUGAUGCAGUACCAGGCAAUGGCUCUCAUGGCUUCUGAUUUAACUAAUUGAAGUGUUAUGUACAUCGUUCUGUCUUGGUAUAAAAGAUGUACUACAGCAAAUAUUCUGCACAAUACCACAG